rnacentral:rRNA from 1 species
GUGGGUAACCUGCCCGGAAGUGGGGAAUACCUCGGGGAAACUCGAGCUAAUACCGCAUGACAUCUUCGGGACGAAAGUCCUGGCGAUCAAAGCGGGGUCGCAAGAUCUCGCGCUACCGGAUGGGCCCGCGCCCGAUUAGCUAGUUGGCGAGGUAACGGCUCACCAAGGCUUCGAUCGGUAACCGGCCUGAGAGGGCGAUCGGUCACACCGGAACUGAGACACGGUCCAGACUCCUACGGGAGGCAGCAGUGGGGAAUUUUGCGCAAUGGGCGAAAGCCUGACGCAGCAACGCCGCGUGAGUGAUGAAGGCUUUCGGGUCGUAAAGCUCUGUCGAGGGGAAAGAAGUGUAUUGUGGCUAAUAUCCACGAUACUUGACGGUACCCCUAAAGGAAGCACCGGCUAACUCCGUGCCAGCAGCCGCGGUAAUACGGGGGGUGCAAGCGUUGUUCGGAAUUAUUGGGCGUAAAGAGCGUGUAGGCGGUUUGUUAAGUCUGAUGUGAAAGCCCUGGGCUCGACCCAGGAAGUGCAUUGGAAACUGGCAGACUUGAAUACGGGAGAGGGUAGUGGAAUU